UACGGAGGGUGCAAGCGUUGUCCGGAUUUAUUGGGUUUAAAGGGUGCGCAGGCGGCCCGUUAAGUCAGUGGUGAAAGCCUCCAGCUCAACUGGAGAACUGCCAUUGAUACUGGCGGGCUUGAGUACAGACGAGGUAGGCGGAAUUGAUUGUGUAGCGGUGAAAUGCAUAGAUACAAUCAAGAACACCGAUUGCGUAGGCAGCUUACUAGGCUGUAACUGACGCUGAGGCACGAAAGCGUGGGGAGCGAACAGG
rnacentral:rRNA from 1 species